rnacentral:lncRNA from 1 species
CCACCGUCCCCCCCACCCCCCGCGGCCUCUGGGUACCCACUGGCCGCGCCCUCGCAGGAGCCUCCGGCCCACUUCCUGCCCCCGCCCCUCCGGGCCUGGCAGCACUUCCUUUGCAAAACUGGGCAGCCCCAGGCCCGGGCAGGAAGUGACCUCCCGGCCCGCCCUCUCCUGAUUCCCGCGGUGGCCACUAGAGGCCUCUCUGUCCUCGCAGACGCCCGGGCUCCCUAGAGCCGGCCCGCCCCGCCUGCCGUGGGGCACACGCCCCCGGCCCCCUCCCCCGCCUCGGGGGCUGGAGAGAUGAGGGCCAGCAUCGUUCACCCCUCUGCCGGGGGUGGGCAGCCUUUGCUCUCCCAACACACACUGGGGCGAAGGAAGACCUGCCCUUCCCAAAGGUUGGUCCCUGUCCCCCCAGCUCCACCUUCCUUCUUCCUCCCACACUCUCAUCCCCUUACCUUGUGAAUCCAGCCUCAAGCCUGCCUCAUGGUGCCCCAGGUGCUGAGCUGCCCCCCAAGUCUCCGAGGGAGCUUGUAGUGUAUAUGAUACUCCCCCCGCCCCCGCCCCAACUUUUCCCUGGUAGCAGAGCGCCGGGGAACCGCCGAUUGGGAAGAGAGACCCGCGGUGCCCACACUCAGCUCCGUCAGCCCCAGUCUGAGGUGGAGCCCAGCCUUCUCAGGGUAGAUACUCAGAUUUGCAUCCCAGAGGCCCAGGCACGCAGUCAGCAGGGCUCCGGCUGUGAAUGAGACCGCAGUCAGCCUUUCCACACCACGGCUACCCACACAUCCUUUGCCCACAGAGUUCAACUCAACCACACGUAUGGUGCUUCCCGUGUGCCAGGCAUGGUGCCAGGCCCCGGGGACAUGCCAUGACUACGCCGCGUCUCUGCUCUCAAGGAACUCACUCUAGUGUGGAGAAAGACACCCGACAGACUGUCUAAAACCUGGUGAUUACACAGAAGGCGGGAGCGCAGAGGACACCUGACCCCCUGGGACAGCCGUGAAGGGAUUGGAAAAUGCUUCCUGUGGGGUGGAGGCUCUGAGGAGUUUGGGAAGGAAGAGGGAUUCAGGUGAAGGUGACCUGAGCGGGUGGGUUCAUCAGGAAAGGACGCCAGAGCGUCAGGGGCCAGUCACAGCCCGGGGAGUGGGCAAUGAUAGCAAUUUUGGAAUUGCACACAAGGCGGGAAAGGGGAAAUGAUGCUGUAGAAAGCAGGAGAAGCCAGAUAAUGCGGAUGCAUAGCCAGACCCAGGGCGUGGGCUUUUUCUCGCGAGCUGUGGGUGCCGCUUAGGGAGACUAGAGGAUAGCGAACAGGAGAGAGAUGUGCUCAAAGCUGGCAGCUGCACGUUGGAAACGAAAUCAGGGGUAUGGGGACAUGAGAUCCUAUGGGGAGACCAGAGCCGUAGACUCGGAGAUGGAGG